AGGCGAAAAGAACCCCGGAGAGGGGAGUGAAAUAGAACCUGAAACCGUAUGCGUACAAGCAGUGGGAGCCUACUUUGUUAGGUGACUGCGUACCUUUUGUAUAAUGGGUCAGCGACUUAUAUUCAGUGGCGAGCUUAACCGAAUAGGGAAGGCGUAGCGAAAGCGAGUCUUAAUAGGGCGAAUUAGUCGCUGGGUAUAGACCCGAAACCGGGCGAUCUAUCCAUGAGCAGGUUGAAGGUUAGGUAACACUGACUGGAGGACCGAACCCACUCCCGUUGAAAAGGUAGGGGAUGACUUGUGGAUCGGAGUGAAAGGCUAAUCAAGCUCGGAGAUAGCUGGUUCUCCUCGAAAGCUAUUUAGGUAGCGCCUCACGUAUCACUCCAGGGGGUAGAGCACUGUUUCGGCUAGGGGGUCAUCCCGACUUACCAAACCGAUGCAAACUCCGAAUACCUGGAAGUGUCAGCGUGGGAGACACACGGCGGGUGCUAACGUCCGUCGUGAAAAGGGAAACAACCCAGACCGUCAGCUAAGGUCCCAAAGUUAUGGUUAAGUGGUAAACGAUGUGGGAAGGCUUAGACAGCUAGGAGGUUGGCUUAGAAGCAGCCACCCUUUAAAGAAAGCGUAAUAGCUCACUAGUCGAGUCGGCCUGCGCGGAAGAUGUAACGGGGCUCAAACCAUACACCGAAGCUACGGGUGCAUCGCAAGAUGCGCGGUAGAGGAGCGUUCUGUAAGCCUGUGAAGGUGAGUUGAGAAGCUUGCUGGAGGUAUCAGAAGUGCGAAUGCUGACAUGAGUAACGACAAUGGGAGUGAAAAACUCCCACGCCGAAAGACCAAGGGUUCCUGCGCAACGUUAAUCGACGCAGGGUUAGUCGGUCCCUAAGGCGAGGCUGAAGAGCGUAGUCGAUGGGAAACAGGUUAAUAUUCCUGUACUUCUAGUUACUGCGAUGGAGGGACGGAGAAGGCUAGGCCAGCUUGGCGUUGGUUGUCCAAGUUUAAGGUGGUAGGCAGAGAUCUUAGGUAAAUCCGGGGUCUUAAUGCCGAGAGCUGAUGACGAGUCAUCUUUCAGAUGAUGAAGUGGUUGAUGCCAUGCUUCCAGGAAAAGCUUCUAAGCUUCAGGUAACUAGGAACCGUACCCCAAACCGACACAGGUGGUU
rnacentral:rRNA from 1 species